UUGACGGGGACCCGCACAAGCGGUGGAUCAUGUUCUUUAAUUCGAUGAUAAACGAAGAACCUUACCAGGGUUUGACAUCCCGAGAAGGACUACGAAAGUAGUUUGUGCCUUUUGGAACUCGGUGACAGAUGAUGCAUGGCCGUCGUCAGCUCGUGUCGUGAGAUGUUUGGUUAAGUCCAUCAACGAGCGCAACCCUUGUGAAUAGUUGGAUUUUUCUAUUCAGACUGCCCCGGUAACGGGGAGGAAGGAGGGGAUGAUGUCAGGUCAGUAUUUCUCUUACAUCCUGGGCUAGAAACGUGAUACAAUGGCUAGUACAAUGCGCAGCGAAGCCGCGAGGUGAAGCAAAUCGCAUCAAAGCUAGUCCCAGUUCGGAUAAGAGGCUGAAACUCGCCUCUUUGAAGUCGGAAUCGCUAGUAAUCGCAGGUCAGCAAACUGCGGUGAAUACGUUCCCGGGUCUUGUACACACCGCCCGUCAAGCCAUGAAAGUGACCAACACCCGAAGUCCGAUUCGUCGGCCUAAGGUGGGGGGCAUGAUUGGGGUUAAGUCGUAACAAGGUAUCCGUACCGGAAGGUGCGGAUGGAUCACCUCCUUU
rnacentral:rRNA from 1 species